rnacentral:rRNA from 1 species
GCUAGACAUAGCAGUAAUGCAGUUAACACAGUAAGUGUGCCGCCUGGGGAGUACGGUCGCAAGAUUAAAACUCAAAGGAAUAGACGGGGACCCGCACAAGCGGUGGAGCAUGUGGUUUAAUUCGACGAUACGCGAAGAACCUUACCUGGCCUUGACAUAGUAAGAACUUUUUAGAGAUAGAUUGGUGCUAGUUUACUAGAGCUUACAUACAGGUGCUGCACGGCUGUCGUCAGCUCGUGUCGUGAGAUGUUGGGUUAAGUCCCGCAACGAGCGCAACCCUCGUGUUUAGUUACUAACAGUUCGGCUGAGGACUCUAGACAGACUGCCUGGGUAACCAGGAGGAAGGUGAGGACGACGUCAAGUCAUCAUGGCCCUUACGGCCAGGGCUACACACGUGCUACAAUGGGGUAUACAAAGAGCCGCGAUACCGUGAGGUGGAGCAAAUCUCAUAAAAUAUCUCCCAGUUCGGAUAGUAGUCUGCAACUCGACUACUUGAAGUUGGAAUCGCUAGUAAUCGUAGAUCAGCAAUGCUACGGUGAAUACGUUCCCGGGUCUUGUACUCACCGCCCGUCACACCAUGGGAGUUGAUUUCAUUCGAAGCGGGGAUGCUAAAAUAGCUACCUUCCACAGUGGAAUUAGCGACUAGGGUGAAGUCGUAACAAGGUAGCCG